rnacentral:rRNA from 1 species
GACGAACGCUGGCGGCGUGCCUAAUACAUGCAAGUUGAGCGCUGAAGGUUGGUACUUGUACCAACUGGAUGAGCAGCGAACGGGUGAGUAACGCGUGGGGAAUCUGCCUUUGAGCGGGGGACAACAUUUGGAAACGAAUGCUAAUACCGCAUAAAAACUUUAAACACAAGUUUUAAGUUUGAAAGAUGCAAUUGCAUCACUCAAAGAUGAUCCCGCGUUGUAUUAGCUAGUUGGUGAGGUAAAGGCUCACCAAGGCGAUGAUACAUAGCCGACCUGAGAGGGUGAUCGGCCACAUUGGGAUUGAGACACGGCCCAAACUCCUACGGGAGGCAGCAGUAGGGAAUCUUCGGCAAUGGACGAAAGUCUGACCGAGCAACGCCGCGUGAGUGAAGAAGGGUUUCGGAUCGUAAAACUCUGUUGGUAGAGAAGAACGUUGGUGAGAGUGGAAAGCUCAUCAAGUGACGGUAACUACCCAGAAAGGGACGGCUAACUACGUG